rnacentral:misc_RNA from 1 species
UCCGAAGUGAGGUGGUCAAGCGAGAGAGCAAGCAAACCGUGUGCCUACAGCGCCUCUUUUGUGUGCGUGGCUUCUCAAGCUCUUGUCACCACGGCCGUCACCGCAUCACAUUCAUGGCCGCUAUCUGGUGAAUGAAAACACACGCACACACAAGCGACAGUGCAGCUCACCACAACUCCUUCCUCCCCCCCCCAAAAAAAGCAAACGGCAAUACCAUCACAGGAUGAGCGGGCAGGCGGGCAAACAAGUGGCACCGGUGAAGUGCAAGGGCUGGUCUGUGGAGAAGCCAGCCUUGCAGUGGUCGACAGACGCGGUGAGGCUGUCAGAUGUGACGGUGCCGGCGCCAGGCCCUACACAGAUCCGCGUAAGAGUGUACGCAGCCAGCAUCAACCCAGUUGACUGGAAGCGAGUCAUGUUCCCCGCCUCCGGCUCUGGCCCUGGCGUUGCAGGCAGCGCUCUCAAGGGGUUCAAAGGGAUGCACCACAAGCCGCCGAACUACCCAUACCCGUAUGUGGUCGGCGUCGACGGCGCCGGUGAAGUGGAGAGUGUCGGCGGAAAGGUGACGGGGCUGAAGGCUGGGGAUCGGGUCAUGUUCCACUCGAGCCUGACGAACGCGCACGGCGGCUCCCUGUGCGAGUACGCCGUGAUGGAGGAGUCCGUAGCGGUGCCCAUCCCGGCUGAUGGGGCGAGGCCGUUCUCGUAUGAGGAAGCCGCGGCCAUUCCGUGCGCCACAUGGACAGCAUAUGUUGCCCUCUUCGACAAGCUGCGCAUCGAGCCGGGCCGCAGCAUCUUCGUCGAUGGUGCAUCUGGGGCAGUGGGCAGCUGCGCUGUGCAGCUGGCGCACCACAUGGGGCUCUACGUAUUUGCAUCGUGCUCUCCGAGCAACGCAGACUAUGUGCGCAGCAUCGGCGCAGAUCAGGUGCUGAACUACCACGACGGCAUCGAGAUGAUCGAUCAGAUUCUGGACGCUACAGAGGGAUAUGGGGUGGAUUACUACCUCGCCGUAACCAACACGCAGGAUGCGGAGAGUUUCACUGACGCUCUUCGUUUUGGCGGCGCCGUCUGCCUGCUGUCUGGCGUUCUGAUUCCCAACAGCAAUGUGCUAUUCCGUCGUCAGCUGUCGGUGCACUACGUCUUCCUGAACGGUUUACAUGGCCAUCCGCUGACGCGGCCACAGCUGCGAUACAUUGGCGACCAAGUGGCGAAGCUCUACCAGAGCGGUGCCUUUCGCCUGGACGUGGAGGUCCUGCCGUUUGCCGAAGCCGCCAAGGCGCUUGACCGCUCAGCGACUGGGAACGUGAACCACAAGAAGCUCAUUGUGCAGGUGGCAUCACCUUGAUCAUGGAUGACGACGUUAGGGGGCUCAUCUCGCCUCCUAGAGUGGCUGCGCCAUUUCGAGCAGCGCCUUACUUGGUCCCUGGCACAAGCGCGCAGGGCCGCACGUGUUUUCUUGUUCUUCUCUUUGGUGUUCUCAUGCUCAUCAUGCCUGCUGCACUCGCCGUGUGCGGUGCUGGUAGAGCAGUAGCGUCUCCACGCACCGCUUCAAACCACGAGAGAGAAAUGCUGCACGCUGCGCAGCUCCAUGAUACUAUGCAGUGUUCAUGUGACACACACACACACACACACACACAAGAACCCGUGCCGGUUUCGUCGGGCAUACGCGGGGGAUGCAAGCGCGCUAUCGUUGUGCCAUGAGGUAGAUGUAGACGUGGCACUCUGUGGCGCAUCUCUCUCCCUCUCUUCUCGCUUUUUAUUUUUCCCUCUUCUGCGCGUGUGUAUUGUAAAGCGAUCUUCCAGACUCCCCAAUUCUUUGUUUGCUUCCUUUUCAACCGCUAAUGCUCUGCUCUCGAGCUGCGUACGCGUGUGCAUGCAUGGGCUGACUGCAG